AUUCCACAGAGCAUGAUGCUGGUACAUUAUACUAAUAGAACCACAUUGACGGAAUAGAGUAGGAAACAUCAGUGCUGAAGACCCUAGGAAAUAAAUGAGGAUUCCAGAAGAGAAGCAUCAAAAAUCUAUGGAAGGUCAAAAAUCAAAAUAGUUAGGUACAAUGCAUCAGGUAUACACCAACAGUACAAACAAAAACAUAAAUACAGAAGAGGGGACUUAGGUGGCUUUUGUUCGGAAGCAUUAAGGGAGGCUCCAGAAGUUACACAUGAGAUGAGCCAUCAGUCCAAACUGUAGGCAGGUUCAGAUGCGUAGACCUCAUCAUGCCUAACAGUUUGGAUUUACCCUGCACUGAAUGCAGUCUUUGAUUGACUAUGGGAAGAUUUCAUCAUCAUUGUUUUAGAUACAUUAGCCUGACAGGAGUACAAAGGCCAAAGCAACAGAAGAGAGAGCAGAGGCAGAGAGCUGAGUUAAAAGGUGACUUGCCAUUUACAGAGAGUAAGAGAAAACUAGAGCCAAGUUCACCAACCUCUCCAUGAGGUGACAGUGAAACAAAAGCCCUGCGCUCCUCCAAUCUUACUUAACAGAAUUAGACAAGUACCCUGAUCUUCGUGUGGAUCACUUUUCACUUCCUGAUCUUUGAAUGAAUCAGAUUUUAAUGCUUCCUUUUUACUACAACUUGCUAUCCACACCAAACCUUCCUGAAUAUAGGUAAGGCUGACUCUAAAGAGUAAAAUUUGUGAGAAUUAUAAAAAAAUCAGAAGGGGAAAAAGGCAUUUGUUCAAGCAUUUUAUAUUUUUACCAUUACUUCUUGGAUAGUCAGCCUAUCAUAAAUGUCAGUACUGGGUCUCCAUCUGGUGGCCAAAGUUUCUACUUGUAAAUUCUAAAGGACCUCAGAAUUUUUUGGUUCAUCACCCUAAGAGUGAAUCACAAAAGAAAAAAGAUGUAAUGUGUUAUUUUAAAAAGAAUGCAUAAACUUAUUUAAUUCAGAAAAUUCUGACUUUCAUAAUGCAUAAAUUAAAGGCAUACUUACAAAAAAAGUCCAGCGAUGUUUAGAGCUAAUCUUAUACAAGAAAAACAAAAAAGAAAAUGUUUUGAACUGAGCACAGGGAGAAAGUCUGUGACUGUCAGAAAUUUCAUUUAUGUAUUCAUUAGUCAACAAAUAUUUAUUGAGUACAUAUUAUAUGUGAACAAAGCCCUCAAUGCAGGGGCUAUAGGGAAAAAUACAAACAAAUUUCUUUCCUUCAGACAGCUUACAUUCUAACAGGGAGAGACAAAAUAAAUACACACCAUAACAUCAGUUGUCAUCAACAUUAGAACAUAAAAUAAAGGAGAAUAAUAGGAUAAGGAGUUAUAUAGGUGGAAAUAUACUUACUUUAUAAAGAAUGGUCAAGAUUGGCCUCUUUAAGACAAUAUUUAAAUAACAGACCUGAAUAAACUGAGAAAUUUAUCGUUUUAGAAAAGGCAGAGGAACCAGAGAUCA